UACGGAGGGUGCAAGCGUUGUUCGGAAUUAUUGGGCGUAAAGGGCAGGUAGGUGGUCUUAUAAGUCUACUGUGAAAUCCCCGGGCUUAACCCGGGAAGUGCGGUAGAUACUGUAAGACUAGAGUGCUAUAGGGGUACGCGGAAUUCUCGGUGUAGCGGUGAAAUGCGUAGAGAUCGAGAGGAACACCAGAGGCGAAGGCGGCGUACUGGAGAGCAACUGACACUCAACUGCGAAAGCGUGGGGAGCAAACAGG
rnacentral:rRNA from 1 species